rnacentral:rRNA from 1 species
UACAGAGGGGGCAAGCGUUGUUCGGAAUUACUGGGCGUAAAGGGCGCGUAGGCGGCCUGUUAAGUCGGACGUGAAAUCCCUCGGCUCAACCGGGGAACUGCGUCUGAUACUGGCGGGCUUGAGUUCGGGAGAGGGAUGUGGAAUUCCAGGUGUAGCGGUGAAAUGCGUAGAUAUCUGGAGGAAUACCGGUGGCGAAGGCGGCAUCCUGGACCAUUACUGACGCUGAGGCGCGAAAGCGUGGGGAGCAAACAGG